AUACUUAGCUGACAGGGGAGAUACCAUGAUCAUGAAGUUGGUUUUUCCAGGAUGAGAGUUACCCAUUGCACUCCGGAUGUGCUGACCCCUUCGAUUUCCGCAAAUGUGGGAAACUUGACUGCAUAAUUUGUGGUAGUGGGGGACUACGUUCAUGCUCGCCUCUU